GAAGGGAGCUUGCUCCUGGAUUUAGCGGCGGACGGGUGAGUAAUGCCUAGGAAUCUGCCUGGUAGUGGGGGAUAACGUUCCGAAAGGAACGCUAAUACCGCGUACGUCCUACGGGAGAAAGCAGGGGACCUUCGGGCCUUGCGCUAUCAAAUGAGCCUAGGUCGGAUUAGCUAGUUGGUGAGGUAAUGGCUCACCAAGGCGACGAUCCGUAACUGGUCUGAGAGGAUGAUCAGUCACACUGGAACUGAGACACGGUCCAGACUCCUACGGGAGGCAGCAGUGGGGAAUAUUGGACAAUGGGCGAAAGCCUGAUCCACCCAUGCCGCGUGUGUGAAGAAGGUCUUCGGAUUGUAAAGCACUUUAAGUUGGGAGGAAGGGUUGUACGUUAAUACCGUGCAAUUUUGACGUUACCGACAGAAUAAGCACCGGCUAACUUCGUGCCAGCAGCCGCGGUAAUACGAAGGGUGCAAGCGUUAAUCGGAAUUACUGGGCGUAAAGCGCGCGUAGGUGGUUCAGUAAGUUGGAAGUGAAAUCCCCGGGCUCAACCUGGGAACUGCUUUCAAAACUGCUGAGCUAGAGUACGGUAGAGGGUAGUGGAAUUUCCUGUGUAGCGGUGAAAUGCGUAGAUAUAGGAAGGAACACCAGUGGCGAAGGCGACUACCUGGACUGAUACUGACACUGAGGUGCGAAAGCGUGGGGGAGCAAACAGGAUUAGAUACCCUGGUAGUCCACGCCGUAAACGAUGUCAACUAGCCGUUGGGAUCCUUGAGAUCUUAGUGGCGCAGCUAACGCAUUAAGUUGACCGCCUGGGGAGUACGGCCGCAAGGUUAAAACUCAAAUGAAUUGACGGGGGCCCGCACAAGCGGUGGAGCAUGUGGUUUAAUUCGAAGCAACGCGAAGAACCUUACCUGGCCUUGACAUGCUGAGAACUUUCCAGAGAUGGAUUGGUGCCUUCGGGAACUCAGACACAGGUGCUGCAUGGCUGUCGUCAGCUCGUGUCGUGAGAUGUUGGGUUAAGUCCCGUAACGAGCGCAACCCUUGUCCUUAGUUACCAGCACCUCGGGUGGGCACUCUAAGGAGACUGCCGGUGACAAACCGGAGGAAGGUGGGGAUGACGUCAAGUCAUCAUGGCCCUUACGGCCAGGGCUACACACGUGCUACAAUGGUCGGUACAAAGGGUUGCCAAGCCGCGAGGUGGAGCUAAUCCCAUAAAACCGAUCGUAGUCCGGAUCGCAGUCUGCAACUCGACUGCGUGAAGUCGGAAUCGCUAGUAAUCGUGAAUCAGAAUGUCACGGUGAAUACGUUCCCGGGCCUUGUACACACCGCCCGUCACACCAUGGGAGUGGGUUGCUCCAGAAGUAGUUAG
rnacentral:rRNA from 1 species